rnacentral:misc_RNA from 1 species
CCAAACUUGGUCAUUUAGAGGAAGUAAAAGUCGUAACAAGGUUUCCGUAGGUGAACCUGCGGAAGGAUCAUUAUUGAAUAAACUUGGUUUUAGGCUGUUGCUGGCUCUUCGGAGCAUGUGCACGUCUAUUCCAUCUUUAUAACCACCUGUGAACCUUGUGUAGAUCUUGAACGAUACUCGAGUGUGUUACAACCUCGGUUUUAGAAAUUGCUGGAGAAUGCCGGCUUUCUCUGUUUGUUCAGAUCUAUUUUUCAAUAUACUCCAUAUAAAAGUAUCAGAAUGUUAAUAAGUUAGGCAUUCGUGCCUCUAAACAAAUAUACAACUUUCAACAACGGAUCUCUUGGCUCUCGCAUCGAUGAAGAACGCAGC